CAGGCCUAACACAUGCAAGUCGAACGGUGGUAGCAAUACCAUAGUGGCGCACGGGUGCGUAACACGUAACUAACCUGCCCAAGACUGGGGGAUAGCCCGCCGAAAGGCGGAUUAAUACCGCAUAAUAUCUUUUACUGGCAUCAGUAGCAGAUUAAACCUGAGGGGGUCUUGGAUGGGGUUGCGGGUCAUUAGCUAGUUGGUUAGGUAACGGCUGACCAAGGCGACGAUGACUAGGGGAGCUGAGAGGCUGGUCCCCCACACGGGCACUGAGAUACGGGCCCGACUCCUACGGGAGGCAGCAGUAGGGAAUAUUGGGCAAUGGACGAGAGGAUGACCCAGCCAUGCCGCGUGCAGGAAGAAGGCUUUAUGAGGCGUAAACUGCUUUUGAUAGGGAAGAAGAAGCACGACGUGUCGUGUGAUGACGGGACCGACAGAAGAAGCACCGGCUAACUCCGUGCCAGCAGCCGCG
rnacentral:rRNA from 1 species